rnacentral:rRNA from 1 species
GGUCAGGAUGAACGCUAGCUACAGGCUUAACACAUGCAAGUCGAGGGGCAGCAUGUGGUUGCUUGCAACCAAUGAUGGCGACCGGCGCACGGGUGAGUAACGCGUAUCCAACCUCCCCCUUAGUAGAGGAUAGCCCGGCGAAAGUCGGAUUAAUACUCUAUGUUCUUCAAUGCGGACAUCUAAGUUGAAGCAAAGAUUUAUCGCUAAGGGAUGGGGAUGCGUCUGAUUAGGUUGCAGGCGGGGUAGCGGCCCACCUGGCCUACGAUCAGUAGGGGUUCUGAGAGGAAGGUCCCCCACACUGGUACUGAGACACGGACCAGACUCCUACGGGAGGCAGCAGUGAGGAAUAUUGGUCAAUGGGCGCGAGCCUGAACCAGCCAAGUAGCGUGCCAGGACGACUGCCCUAUGGGUUGUAAACUGCUUUUAUCAGGGAAUAAAGUGAGGCACGCGUGCCUUUUUGUAUGUACCUGAUGAAUAAGGACCGGCUAAUUCCGUGCCAGCCGCCGC